GAUGAACGCUGGCGGCGUGCCUAAUACAUGCAAGUCGAGCGAACAGACGAGGAGCUUGCUCCUCUGACGUUAGCGGCGGACGGGUGAGUAACACGUGGAUACCCUCCCUAUAAGACUGGGAUAACUUCGGGAAACCGGAGCUAAUACCGGAUAAUAUAUUGAACCGCAUGGUUCAAUAGUGAAAGACGGUUUUGCUGUAACUUAUAGAUGGAUCCGCGCCGCAUUAGCUAGUUGGUAAGGUAACGGCUUACCAAGGCAACGAUGCGUAGCCGACCUGAGAGGGUGAUCGGCCACACUGGAACUUAGACACGGUCCAGACUCCUACGGGAGGCAGCAGUAGGGAAUCUUCCGCAAUGGGCGAAAGCCUGACGGAGCAACGCCGCGUGAGUGAUGAAGGUCUUCGGUUCGUAAAACUCUGUUAUUAGGGAAGAACAAAUGUGUAAGUAACUAUGCACGUCUUGACGGUACCUAAUCAGAAAGCCACGGCUAACUACGUG
rnacentral:rRNA from 1 species